UGCAGAAUCCCGUGAACCAUCGAAUUUUUGAACGCAAGUUGCGCCCGAGGCCUUUUUGGCCUAGGGCACGCCUGCCUGGGCGUCAGUUGCCCCUCGGCGCUCCGUGCCAUGUGUGAUCUCUCACGGCUGGAUGCGGGCCUGGCCCUCCGAGUCCCUGAGCUCGGCGGGCCAAAGCGUUUGGCUUGCCCAUCGGGGCUGGCUGUGGCGAGUGGUGGAUCGAUCGCUCAGACGAGCCGUACGUCGCCCAGCUAGACCCCUCGGGUGUAUGGCCUUGUUGAAACCCCAGAAUAGCAGAUGCCGAAUGGCAUUGGCGAAACCAAGACCCCAGGUCAGGCGGGACCACCCGCCGAGUUUAAGCAUAUAAUUAAGCGGAGGAGAAGAAACUUACGAGGAUUCCCCUAGUAACGGCGAGCGAAAUGGGAACAGCCCAGCCUUGGAAUCGUGCGGGUCUUCCGCACGA
rnacentral:rRNA from 1 species